rnacentral:rRNA from 1 species
UGAGGAAUAUUGGACAAUGGGCGCAAGCCUGAUCCAGCCAUGCCGCGUGCAGGAUGACGGUCCUAUGGAUUGUAAACUGCUUUUGUACAGGAAGAAACAGUUCUACGUGUAGAACCUUGACGGUACUGUAAGAAUAAGGAUCGGCUAACUCCGUGCCAGCAGCCGCGGUAAUACGGAGGAUCCAAGCGUUAUCCGGAAUCAUUGGGUUUAAAGGGUCCGUAGGCGGUUAGAUAAGUCAGUGGUGAAAGCCCAUCGCUCAACGGUGGAACGGCCAUUGAUACUGUCUGACUUGAAUUAUUAGGAAGUAACUAGAAUAUGUAGUGUAGCGGUGAAAUGCUUAGAGAUUACAUGGAAUACCAAUUGCGAAGGCAGGUUACUACUAAUGGAUUGACGCUGAUGGACGAAAGCGUGGGUAGCGAACAGGAUUAGAUACCCAAGUAGUCCCUGAGCGGGCUGGCAAGGCG